GGAAGCAGCUGUGUCCAAGGUCGUAAUGACAAGGGCUCGGACUUUCAUAUCUGACAGCAUAGACUCGAUGAAGUGAGCCGUUUCGUUCAUCUCCUCACAGUAGACCUGUUGAGACUGCAACUCAUUUAAUGCGUCAUCCUCUGAGCAUCGUAGGACGUCUCCUUGAUGCGGUGCAAGGCGUGAGGCCGGUGAUAAUUCUUGCGGAGAAGCCAUCUCGGCAUCUCCUUGAACGAAAGAUGACGCGGCACCCGGACGUCCAACCAUGGAGCAGCAGCAAAUAUUUUUAGGAUCGCAUGGGACCGGCCUAUGAAUUUCCAGUGAGUCGACGCUAUCACCCCUGCAGUUGAAGCACGCCCAAUGCCGCAACCAACGCCAACAUUUCUCCCGAGUUGUCAUCGUAUUUUGCCUUGUCAUAUGGGCACCAAACAAAAUGUCAUAUGGGCACCAAACAAAGCUGGGUUGGAGUCCUAAACAUAUUGAAAUACCAGCAGCACAGCUUUUAAAAAGUUAUGGAAAAACUGGGUAAAUUAUGGACAUCGCGUCGAAAGGCAGGAGGUUGACAUUAUACGUGGUUUCCGGAUGCCGCACUCAGCUGCUAAGGUGCAGGAACCUGCCAUACAAUCAACUGGUCGGCUGUCAGUGGCGUUAGUCCGUUGUCUAUGCCACCGAUAGAUGAUGGCGGAGAGGAAAUAAAUCUGUGCAUGAAACUAUCCUGAGGGAACGGCUCAGGUAUUGCACGCUUGGAGAGUCUGCUAAGAGUACUGCGCCCUAAUGAACUCCCCCAUCAGGAUUUAGGGCAGGAAUUGCCUGGAACUGCAUUCU
rnacentral:lncRNA from 1 species